GACGAACGCUGGCGGCGUGCUCAACACAUGCAAGUCGAACGGAAAGGCCCUGCUUUUGUGGGGUGCUCGAGUGGCGAACGGGUGAGUAACACGUGAGUAACCUGCCCUUGACUUUGGGAUAACUUCAGGAAACUGGGGCUAAUACCGGAUAGGAGCUCCUGCUGCAUGGUGGGGGUUGGAAAGUUUUGGCGGUUGGGGAUGGACUCGCGGCUUAUCAGCUUGUUGGUGGGGUAGUGGCUUACCAAGGCUUUGACGGGUAGCCGGCCUGAGAGGGUGACCGGCCACAUUGGGACUGAGAUACGGCCCAGACUCCUACGGGAGGCAGCAGUGGGGAAUAUUGCACAAUGGGCGGAAGCCUGAUGCAGCAACGCCGCGUGCGGGAUGACGGCCUUCGGGUUGUAAACCGCUUUCGCCUGUGACGAAGCGUGAGUGACGGUAAUGGGUAAAGAAGCACCGGCUAACUACGUG
rnacentral:rRNA from 1 species